GUGUUUUCUGGGCAUAGAAUUAUAACAUCAGUGAAGAGAGAUUUUUAACUUCUUUUCCUAAUUUGAUGCCUUUUAUUUCUUUCUCUUGCCUGAUCCUCUGGCUAGGACUUCCAGUAUUAUGUUGAGUAAGAGUGGUGAGAGUGGAAAUUCUUUUCUUCUUCCAAUUCUCAAAAGAAUGGUUCCAGCGUUUACCUGUUCAGCAUGAUGUUGGCUGGAUGUAUAUCAUAUAUGUCUCUUGCUAUUUCGAGGCUGGCUGCAAGCUGAGAAGACAGGAGAGCCAAUCCGAGUCUCAAAACUGAAGAACUGGGAAUCUGAUGUUCUAUGUCAUUUCUGGAGGUGACAGCUUAGGUCUCUGAAUGACAGUUUAAAUUUCUGAUUACAGUCUUCAUGCCCCUCUUUUUGCCGUAAGUUUCCUCUAUGCAUUGUUUUAGCUGUUAUUCAAAUUUGACAUGUUGAGUUUCCAUUUUUAUUGAGCCAAAAUAGACAUCUCUGACACAUAGAUUAUCUAUAUUUGUACUAAUUUCUCAGCAUUUGGAGGUUUCUGUAUAAUUGUUCUAUUUCUGUUUUCUAGUCUAAUUCCAUUAUGUCUAUAAAUCAGACUUUGUAUGAUUUUUAACUCAAAAGUUUAUUAAGCUGUGUUUUAUAACACAAAUUGGUUAAUAUAUGUCAGGGCAGAGAUACCAUUGGGUACAUAUUAUUUUGUUCACUAAGUUUCUAAAAUUUAUAUACUUCUACAGUUGAUUUAAAUAUUUUUGAUGUACUGUAUUCUUUCUCUGUUUUGGCAAUUUUAAUGACAGAAAAGGCCUUUUAAGAUUAUGCCACUUGGUGUUGUGG
rnacentral:lncRNA from 1 species